rnacentral:rRNA from 1 species
GACGAACGCUGGCGGCAUGCCUAAUACAUGCAAGUCGAGCGAACAGAUGAAGUGCUUGCACUUCUGACGUUAGCGGCGAACGGGUGAGUAACACGUAAGGAAUCUACCUAUAAGCGGGGGAUAACAUUCGGAAACGGGUGCUAAUACCGCAUAAUAUCUUCUUCCGCAUGGAAGAAGAUUGAAAGACGGCUCUGCUGUCACUUAUAGAUGACCUUGCGGUGCAUUAGUUAGUUGGUGGGGUAACGGCCUACCAAGACGAUGAUGCAUAGCCGACCGGGGAGGGUGAUCGGCCACAUUGGGACUGAGACACGGCCCAAACUCCUACGGGAGGCAGCAGUAGGGAAUCUUCCGAAAUGGGCGAAAGCCUGACGGAGCAAUGCCGCGUGAGUGAAGAAGGCCUUCGGGUCGUAAAACUCUGUUAUAAGAGAAGAACAAAUUGUAGAGUAACUGCUACAGUCUUGACGGUAUCUUAUCAGAAAGCCACGGCUAACUACGUGCCAGCAGCCGCCGUAA